GACGAACCGUGCGAACGUUGUUCGGAAUCACUGGGCUUAAAGGGCGCGUAGGCGGGCUGCCAAGUCUGGGGUGAAAUCCCACGGCUCAACCGUGGAACUGCCUCGGAUACUGGCGGCCUCGAGGGAGGUAGGGGCGUGCGGAACUGUGGGUGGAGCGGUGAAAUGCGUUGAUAUCCACAGGAACUCCGGUGGCGAAGGCGGCACGCUGGACCUUUUCUGACGCUGAGGCGCGAAAGCCAGGGGGGCAAACGGG
rnacentral:rRNA from 1 species